rnacentral:rRNA from 1 species
UACAGAGGUCUCAAGCGUUGUUCGGAUUCAUUGGGCGUAAAGGGUGCGUAGGCGGCGCGGUAAGUCGGGUGUGAAAUCUCGGAGCUUAACUCCGAAACUGCAUUCGAUACUGCCGUGCUUGAGGACUGGAGAGGAGACUGGAAUUUUACGGUGUAGCAGUGAAAUGCGUAGAUAUCGUAAGGAAGACCAGUGGCGAAGGCGGGUCUCUGGACAGUUCCUGACGCUGAGGCACGAAGGCCAGGGGGAGCAAACGGG